ACGAACGAGCUCAACAAACUCUCCACCUACCAGCCCUACUACGGGCACGAUCAGGUUCACACCGCCAAUGGUGUAGGUAUGCCCAUCUCUCACAUUGGCCAAGCAUCUCUUUUAACUAGUCAUCCCUCUAUGCAGCUCCAUCUUCAUAAUGUUUUACGGGUACCCUCGGUGACUCGUAAUCUUUUAUCUGUCCCUAAGCUCACCCUUGAUAAUCAUGUCCAAUGUGAAUUUCACCAUUUUAAUCUUUUUGUUAAGGACCGAGCAACCCGGGACAUUUUGCUUAGUGGCCGGUUGAGCCAAGGCUUGUACCGUUUGGAGGAUCCAUCCGCCCCGUGCGUCUUCAGCGGUGUUCGUGUGUCGCCUUCCCAGUGGCACUCUCGCUUUGGUCACCCCGCCACACCC
rnacentral:rRNA from 1 species